CCCUUCGGGGUGGAUUAGUGGCGAACGGGUGAGUAACACGUGGGCAAUCUGCCCUUCACUCUGGGACAAGCCCUGGAAACGGGGUCUAAUACCGGAUAACACUCCUGCCUGCAUGGGCGGGGGUUAAAAGCUCCGGCGGUGAAGGAUGAGCCCGCGGCCUAUCAGCUUGUUGGUGAGGUAGUGGCUCACCAAGGCGACGACGGGUAGCCGGCCUGAGAGGGCGACCGGCCACACUGGGACUGAGACACGGCCCAGACUCCUACGGGAGGCAGCAGUGGGGAAUAUUGCACAAUGGGCGAAAGCCUGAUGCAGCGACGCCGCGUGAGGGAUGACGGCCUUCGGGUUGUAAACCUCUUUCAGCAGGGAAGAAGCGAAAGUGACGGUACCUGCAGAAGAAGCGCCGGCUAACUACGUGCCAGCAGCCGCGGUAAUACGUAGGGCGCAAGCGUUGUCCGGAAUUAUUGGGCGUAAAGAGCUCGUAGGCGGCUUGUCACGUCGGUUGUGAAAGCCCGGGGCUUAACCCCGGGUCUGCAGUCGAUACGGGCAGGCUAGAGUGUGGUAG
rnacentral:rRNA from 1 species